GAUGAACGCUGGCGGUAGGCCUAACACAUGCAAGUCGAACGGCAGCACAGUAAGAGCUUGCUCUUACGGGUGGCGAGUGGCGGACGGGUGAGGAAUACAUCGGAAUCUACUUUUUCGUGGGGGAUAACGUAGGGAAACUUACGCUAAUACCGCAUACGACCUACGGGUGAAAGCAGGGGAUCUUCGGACCUUGCGCGAUUGAAUGAGCCGAUGUCGGAUUAGCUAGUUGGCGGGGUAAAGGCCCACCAAGGCGACGAUCCGUAGCUGGUCUGAGAGGAUGAUCAGCCACACUGGAACUGAGACACGGUCCAGACUCCUACGGGAGGCAGCAGUGGGGAAUAUUGGACAAUGGGCGCAAGCCUGAUCCAGCCAUACCGCGUGGGUGAAGAAGGCCUUCAGGUUGUAAAGCCCUUUUGUUGGGAAAGAAAAGCAGCAGGUUAAUACCCCGCUGUUCUGACGGUACCCAAAGAAUAAGCACCGGCUAACUUCGUG
rnacentral:rRNA from 1 species